GCUCCGGUGGACUAGAGGUUAGAGUGUCCCCCUCGGAUGCGGGAGGUCGUGGGUUCGAUCCCCGGUCGGACUUACA